CAUCUGACGAUGUGAUCAAGAUCAUCUACUAAACCAAAAAUGCAGCCAUAGUUAACAAUAACCAAACUCUUUUGAAUUGUUUAUUUGUACGAACAUUGAAAAGCAAAACGAUCAUGGAUCAUGGUGAUUUUUGGAAUCAAGAUUUAGGACGUUUUUUGUUUGCUUCUCUCUUUGAUCUUCUCUCCCUUGAACUUAGAGAAGUCUUGAACCCAACUUCGUUCUCCGAGUCGUACACAUCUUUAAACGAUUUCUG